rnacentral:rRNA from 1 species
AAACAACGAUGGCAACAUACAAACACCAUCCGCCAGGGGACUACGAGCAUUAGCUUAAAACCCAAAGGACUUGGCGGUGCCUCAAACCCACCUAGAGGAGCCUGUUCUAUAACCGAUAAUCCCCGUUAAACCUCACCACUCCUUGCCAACCCAGCCUAUAUACCGCCGUCGCCAGCUUAUCUCAUGAGAGACUAACAAUAAGCCAAAUGGGCCAUACCCAAAACGUCAGGUCGAGGUGUAGCAAAUGGAAUGGGAAGAAAUGGGCUACAUUUUCUGACCCAGAAUAUAAACGAAAAGUGUCAUGAAAAAACACAACUGAAGGUGGAUUUAGCAGUAAAAAGAAAAAAGAGAGUCUU